UGUACUGUUUGACCCAGAAGUAGAAAAUCCUUUUGUGUUGUUCAAGUUGAUAGAAUUGGGGUUUCCACGUGCCACAUUGGGAAUAUUAUUGGUAACUAAAAAUGUACAGAUUUACUAAAAGAAGGACCUAGCCCUGCCUUCUUCAGGUACUGAAAUUCUCAUCCUACCAUCACUUUCGUAAAUUUUGAGUGGAUUCUGGAGUAGAUUUUUGGAGUUAUAAAAAAUGGGCAAACGUCGCCACAAUUUCACAAACCAAAUUUCGGCAUAGGAUUCGGGACUUCAUCGGAGCACAGGUGUAACCUAGCCAGGUAUUUGAGUUUAUGGUUAACAUAUCAGUCAAUGGUUGAAUUGUGAUUUCGGCUCAAUUUGUGCAAGGUAUCAUAUGUGUGUUUUUUCUUCGAUUCUAUCCGUGCAUCUAUUUCUGUGACUCGCUAGGAUUAUUUGAUUCAGUUAUUGUUUGGAUUUACGGUGACCAUUUUGGAUGGUCGAGGGUGUGUUCUGUUUCGAGAAAUUCUUGUUUAUCGUAUUACUGCUUGGUUAUGUGAUUGUAUUGUGUAAUUUUGUAUGAGUUUUAUGUUGUCUCCGACAUACUACCUAAAGGAGAAGUGAUUUUGUUUUCCUCUCCAUGCGUUGGACAGUAGGUAGCAGGGACUAGGGAAACGACCAUGGGCCAACAACUCUGCAACCUUCGGUAGUGACAGAGAGUCGUUCUCAAUUGGAUUGAAUUUGUACUUCUGUUUUUUAUAUGCUAAUAAUACGUUCCCCUAAAAUACUCCUUUUAAGAGAUGUCUGAUUUUCCUAUUUUGGUAGUGGUGACCGACACCUUCAGGCAGAAGUUUCGAAAAGGUGACCGCACUUGAAAGAUGUGGACGCCAAGAGAAGAGGCUGAUAAGGACACAAAGUUUAUGAGGAAAAAGUCAUGGCCACUUUGGGACACGUGGUAGUUGAUUUUCGGGAAAGAUAGAGCCUCCGGCGGUGCUCCCUAGGAGGUAGACGACAUGACCACUCGUCUGCAUGCUCAACUCGACGGGGGCAGUCAAUGCAACGAGAAUGACUACCGCCCAUCGUUUGACAAUUUCCACACUGAUCCAUUGGCAGAAGCAGCUGAUAACACAGAACUGAAUGACAUUAGCUUCGGAAAUGGUGACAAAGAACCCUCGAUCAACAAAACUAGCCCACGCAACUGCAUUAAGGCUUGGAGUGAUGCAGCCUUUAUGGAAUUCCUCAUCAAUCUUCAUGUAAAAAACAACACGAGUUUGGAGAUGAUCUCUGCCAGAAUUGGUUACGAGUUUGAUUUGGCAGGAAGUUUUUGACAAGGUUGGGACAGUAGACGACCUAACUCUUCACCAAUGCUACGAGCUUUGCAACAUCCUAUGGGAUAAACCUUAGUGUCUUGAGGUCUUUACUCAGAUGCCGGCUACAACUAGGCUUGGAUAUGUUCUCUUCCUUAUUCAGGAGAAACAUAAGGAAGGUUGACGCUCCAUUGUUGUUGGGCUAUAAGUUGGUAUGUGUUGUUUGAAUUUAUAGGAACGGUUUAUUAUGAGUUAAAUAUUAAGCCGCCUUUUGUUGUAAGUAGUAAUGCCAUCUUUGGCGUGGGUGUACAAUCACUACCCCAGCUGACUUGUUUUGUGGGUUUGGCCGUUCUUCAGACUUUAUGAACGUCAUAUAUAAUCAAUUUUGCUAUGUUGGACGUGUUAGUA